rnacentral:sRNA from 1 species
UUGCAAGAAGGGCUCAGCCAGCGGGUGG